rnacentral:rRNA from 1 species
GCAAGUCGAGCGAGUAAAAGCGUGCUUGCACGGUUUUUAUUUAGCGGCGAACGGGUGAGUAACACGUAGGUAACCUGGCCAUAGACAGGAUAACGCACGGAAACGUGAGCUAAAACCAGAUAGGCAUUUCCACGCAUGAGGAGAUGAGAAAGCGGAGCAAUCUGCCGCUUAUGGAUGGACCUGCGUCGCAUUAGCUAGUUGGAGUGGUAAAGGCACACCAAGGCGACGAUGCGUAGCCGACCUGAGAGGGUGAGCGGCCACACUGGGACUGAGACACGGCCCAGACUCCUACGGGAGGCAGCAGUAGGGAAUCUUCCGCAAUGGACGAAAGUCUGACGGAGCAACGCCGCGUGAGUGAAGAAGGUUUUCGGAUCGUAAAGCUCUGUUGCCAGGGAAGAAGAGCAAGGAGAGGAACUGCUCCUUGAGUGACGGUACCUGAGAAGAAAGCCCCGGCUAACUACGUG